rnacentral:rRNA from 1 species
AUUGAACGCUGGCGGCAUGCCUUACACAUGCAAGUCGAACGGCAGCACGGGGGCAACCCUGGUGGCGAGUGGCGAACGGGUGAGUAAUACAUCGGAACGUGCCCCGUAGCGGGGGACAACCAGUCGAAAGACUGGCUAAUACCGCAUACGCUCCACGGAGGAAAGCAGGGGAUCGCAAGACCUUGCACUAUGGGAGCGGCCGAUGCCCGAUUAGCUAGUUGGGAGGUAAAGGCUCACCAAGGCAACGAUCGGUAGCUGGUCUGAGAGGACGACCAGCCACACUGGGACUGAGACACGGCCCAGACUCCUACGGGAGGCAGCAGUGGGGAAUAUUGGACAAUGGGCGCAAGCCUGAUCCAGCCAUGCCGCGUGGAUGAAGAAGGCCCUAGGGUUGUAAAGUCCUUUCGGCGGGGAGAUGAUGACGGUACCCGCAGAAGAAG